AUCCAACUGGCGAGUUCCAAAUGAAACGAAACGCGCGUCCUGGAU
rfam:Schistosoma curassoni strain Dakar, Senegal genome assembly, scaffold: SCTD_contig0002086